GACCUCAAAUCGGGUGGGACUACCCGCUGAACUUAAGCAUAUCAAUAAGCGGAGGAAAAGAAACUAACAAGGAUUCCCCUAGUAACGGCGAGUGAAGAGGGAAAAGCUCAAAUUUUGAAUCUGGUGUCUUUGACUCCCGAGUUGUAAUCUAGAGAAGUGUUUUCCGUGUCGGACCGUGCACAAGUUCCCUGGAACGGGGCGUCAUAGAGGGUGAGAAUCCCGUAUAUGGCAUGGACUGCCGAUGCUUUGUGAUACACUCUCAACGAGUCGAGUUGUUUGGGAAUGCAGCUCAAAAUGGGUGGUAAAUUCCAUCUAAAGCUAAAUAUUGGCGAGAGACCGAUAGCGAACAAGUACCGUGAGGGAAAGAUGAAAAGCACUUUGGAAAGAGAGUGAAACAGUACGUGAAAUUGUUGAAAGGGAAGCGU
rnacentral:rRNA from 1 species